UACGGAGGGUGCAAGCGUUGUCCGGAAUCACUGGGCGUAAAGGGCGCGUAGGCGGCUCGGUAAGUAGGGGGUGAAAUCCUGCGGCUUAACCGCAGGGCUGCCUUCUAAACUGUCGAGCUUGAGCACGGUAGAGGCAGAUGGAAUUCCCGGUGUAGCGGUGGAAUGCGUAGAGAUCGGGAGGAACACCGGUGGCGAAGGCGGGUCUCUGGGCAAUUCCUGACGCUGAGGCGCGAAAGCGUGGGGAGCAAACGGG
rnacentral:rRNA from 1 species